CCUACGGGAGGCAGCAGUAGGGAAUAUUGGGCAAUGCCCGCAAGGGUGACCCAGCCAUGCCGCGUGCAGGAAGAAGGCCUUCUGGGUUGUAAACUGCUUUUGGAAGGGAACAAAACGGCUGUGCGCAGCCACUUGAGUGUACCUUCAGAAUAAGCACCGGCUAACUCCGUGCCAGCAGCCGCGGUAAUACGGAGGGUGCAAGCGUUGUCCGGAUUUAUUGGGUUUAAAGGGUGCGUAGGCGGCCUAUUAAGUCAGGGGUGAAAGACUGCAGCUCAACUGUAGCAGUGCCUUUGAUACUGAUGGGCUUGAGUCUAGCUGAGGCCGGCGGAAUUUAUGGUGUAGCGGUGAAAUGCAUAGAUACCAUAAAGAACACCGAUUGCGAAGGCAGCCGGCUAAACUAGUACUGACGCUGAGGCACGAAAGCGUGGGGAUCGAACAGG
rnacentral:rRNA from 1 species